rnacentral:lncRNA from 1 species
AAGGUAAAGGGGAAAGCAGUAGCAUCAAUCGCACCGUUGGAAAGAAUCGAGUCGAGUGACGAAACACCUUCUCAAUUAUAUUUAACAACCAGCUCAGACCAGAGAUAUGGCAACGACGUGGGCAAUAGUGUCUUAACCAAUGAUGGCGACGACCUCGGGGAGUCGAUAGUCUAAUCUAUAUAAUUUGAGGGUGGUGCAUGGAUCGCAAAACCGUAUUUUACAUGUCGUCUAAGAUUUAAAUCAUCGAAUUUGACAAGAUAUUGAUUAAGUUUAUACAUGGAAGGGGGAGAGAAAGACAGUGGAUGAUUUUGAGCAGAUGCGACAGAACUUACACUAUGCAGACACAAAGCGAAAAUUAUCAUAUUCAUAAUCGUCGUAUCAUGGAGAAUCGUUUGACCAGCAACAGUAUGGUGAUGGUCAUGCUUCACCGAGCAAUUGUACGUUGUUCGAUCUUAUGAUACAAAACAACAAAUCAAUAGCAAAAGUAGAAGUUUUGACAUUCUUCAUGCUCCGCACUAAUACAUGUCAUAAUCGUACUUGCCUCUGGAGCCACCUCACACACGUGUGAUUCAUGACGAUCAAACUACGACCAUCACUAUAUUGAUGCACCAAUGACAUACGGUGUAUUAGUAUAUUAUGUCGUGAGAUCAAUUUUAGGAUUGGGUCUAACAAAUAUAUCAAAUUGAUAUACAGAUACAUAGGAUCGAGGACCUUGGUCCAUUUCCUAUGGAGUCUCAUUUUUACUCGCAUCUCUCUCUCAUUCUCACAUUUUCAUUCUCCUACACUCAACAAGGCUACGAUUUAUGGAUUGGAUUAAAUUUGGGAUGAUUAAGAAGAAGAUCCCUCUCGAUUAGAAUGUGGCGAAAAGAGUCGGACAACAUCGAGUCAAAUUACUCUAGAAAUUAGAGACACCCAACUGUCACAAUCGUUCCCCCGACAUACAACGACAAAGGUAAAGGGGAAGGCAGUGGCAUCAAUCGCACCGUUGGAAAGAAUCGAGUCGAGUGACGAAACACCUUCUCAAUUAUAUUUAACAACCAGCUCAGUCCAGAGAUAUAGCAGCGACGUGGGCAGUAGUGUCUUAACCAAUGAUGGCGACGACCUCGGGGAGUCGAUAGUCUAAUCUACAUAAUUUGAGGGUGGUGCAUGGACCGCAAAACAGUAUUUUACGUGCCGUCUAAGAUUUAAAUCAUCGAAUUCGACAAGAUAUUGAUUAAGUUUAUACAUGGAAGGGGGAGAGGAAGGCAGUGGAUGAUUUUGAGCAGAUGCGACAGAACUUACACUAUGCAGACACAAAGCGAAACUUAUUAUAUUAAUAGUCGUCGUAUCAUGGAGAAUAUUUUGACCAACAACAGUAUGGUGAUGGUCAUGCUUCACCGAGCAAUUGUACGUUGUUCGAUCUUAUGAUACAAAACAACAAAUCAAUAGCAAAAGUAGAAGUUUUGACAUUCUUCAUACUCCGCACUAAUACAUGUCAUAAUCGUACUUGCCUCAGGAGCCACCUCAGACAUGUGUGAUUCAUGACGAUCAGACUACGACCAUCACUAUAUUGAUGCACCAAUGGCAUACGGUGUAUUAGUAUAUUAUGUCGUGAGAUCAAUUUUAGGAUUGGGUCUAACAAAUAUAUCAAAUUGAUAUACAAAUACAUAGGAUCGAAUACCUUGGUCCAUUUCCUGUGGAGUCUCAUUUUCUUCUCUUGUGGUAGAACUNNNNNNNNNNNNNNNNNNNNCUUUUUACAAAUUGGAUCAAGGUUUUUCUUUCUCUCAUCUACCUGUUUGCUUCUUGUUUUGCCCAUUGACUAUUAGAGGCAUAAGACAUGCAUUCGUUUCAAGUUUUUAGUUGUCUAGAAUUCUAAAUUCAUAUUGAUGUGGCAGGUGUUCAUGAGUUGAAUAGCAUCAAUUCAUAUUGUAAAUUUAUGUUUUUUAUUGAUAAUACUUCUCACAUUGAAGUAUAAAAGAUGAGAGAUCCCCAGGAAUCUCUGAGUUGAUAGGCUUUUUAUUUAUUGAUAACACUUCUGGCAUUGGAAGGACAUGAAACAAAGUGUCUAGAGUCACAACGGACAUUGAAAGGAACAUAUGCAUCGAUUAUUAUCACAAACACCGUCUCCAGUAUAAGUUCUAGUGCAUCCCUCCGCACAAUUUGAAUCGGUACAUGGGCUGUCUAAGACAACUUUGCAGAUACGAUCAGGUUGUUGUGCCUCAACCACAACAUCAGCUGUUGCAAAGGUAAAUGCAUAAGUAAGGCGACCGUUACGUUUUUAUCUAGAUAUUAUAUGCAAUCAAACAGAAGUUUUUAUAUUGUUGAUAAUAGCAUGAGGUAAUACUGUCACAUGAGUUGUUUAAGUUAGGUGACAAUUACAUUUUUAUCUAGAUAUUAUAUGUAAUCAAACAUGAGUUUUUAUAUUGUUGAUAAUAGCAUGAGGUAAUACUAUCACAUGUGUUGUUAAUCUUAUGCUGAAUUCUGUCCUCUCGUUAAGACACCCAAAUAUAUAUCGCACCUA